ACCACAAGAGCGUGGAGUAUGUGGCUUAAUUUGACUCAACGCGGAAAAGCUUAUCUGGUCCGGACGCAGUGAGGAUUGACAGACAGUUAGACAGAAGUGGUUUAGGUAACAAUUGAGAGAGUUGAAGUUCUUUCAUGAUCUUGUGAGAGGUGGUGCAUGGCCGUUCUUAGUUCGUGUAGUGAUAUGUCUGCCUAAUCGCGUCACGAUAACCUAUUGGUCGACAACCCAAUUAUCACAACUGCAGCAUAACUCCCCUUGGGUGGGCGAGGCUCUGUGUAGGAUAGACCUCUGAACAGUACGCAACGAACGCGAUCGUAAUCCCUUGUUGAGUGGCCAUCCUGUAAGCUGCUGGAUUAGGAACCCAGUGGUAUUAUCUCAGCCACAGAUUUUCUGGUUGUAGUGGGCCAUUUUGAAACUCCG
rnacentral:rRNA from 1 species